rnacentral:rRNA from 1 species
CGAAAACUUGGCAAUGCGAGAAAUCGUGACCAGGGAACUCCAAGUGCAUCGGGUAAGACCGAUGCUUUUCUUGACUCUUCAAAGGUCUUGGAAUAAGGGGUGGGUAAGGACGGUGCCAGCCGCCGCGGUAAUACCGGCGCCUCAAGUGGUAGUCGCUUUUAUUGGGCCUAAAACGUCCGUAGCCGGUUUGGUACAUUCGUGGGUAAAUCAAGGCGCUCAACGUCUUGAAUUCUGCGAGCACGGCCAGACUUGGGACCGGGUGAGGUGUGGGGUACUCUCAGGGUAGGGGUAAAAUCCUGUCAUCCUGAGAGGACCACCUGUUGCGAAGGCGCCACACUAGAACGGAUCCGACGGUCAGGGACGAAGCCUAGGGGCACGAACCGGAUUAGAUACCCGGGUAGUCCUAGGUGUAAACGCUGUGGACUUGAUGUUGGGAGUGCUCCGAGCACCCUCAGUGUCGAAGCGAAGGUGAUAAGUCCACUGCCUGGGGAGUACGGUCGCAAGGCUGAAACUUAAAGGAAUUGGCGGGGGAGCACUGCAACCUGAGGAUUGUGCGGUUUAAUUGGAUUCAACGCCGGAA